ACAGGAGCACACACUUGGAUGCUGUGGCAAUGUUCAGCUGCCAUUGCAGACUGGGACCGGUCUGCAAAGCCCCCAAAGAUCAGAAGAGCG